rnacentral:rRNA from 1 species
UACAGAGGGUGCAAGCGUUAAUCGGAAUUACUGGGCGUAAAGGGCGCGUAGGCGGUUUAUUAAGUCAGAUGUGAAAUCCCCGGGCUUAACCUGGGAAUUGCAGUUGAUACUGGUCGCCUAGAGUACGAGAGAGGGAGGUAGAAUUUCCUGUGUAGCGGUGAAAUGCGUAGAUAUCUGGAGGAAAACCGGUGGCGAAGGCGGCCUCCUGGCUCGAUACUGACGCUGAGGUGCGAAAGCGUGGGGAUCAAACAGG